AGAAAACCAAAUAUGGCAUCUUCCAUGAGGAGCUUGUUUUCUGACCACGGGAAAUAUGUUGAAUCUUUCCGGAGGUUUCUCAACCAUUCCACGGAACACCAGUGCAUGCAGGAAUUCAUGGACAAGAAGCUGCCAGGCAUAAUAGCAAGGAUUGGAGACACAAAAUCAGAAAUUAAGAUUCUAAGCAUAGGCGGAGGUGCAGGUGAAAUUGAUCUUCAAAUUCUCUCCAAAGUUCAGGCUCAAUACCCAGGAGUUUGUAUCAACAAUGAAGUUGUUGAGCCAAGUGCUGAACAAAUUGCCAAAUACAAAGAGCUUGUAGCCAAGACAUCGAACCUCGAGAACGUAAAGUUUGCUUGGCAUAAGGAGACAUCAUCUGAAUAUCAAAGUAAAAUGUUGGAGAAAAAGGAGCUUCAAAAGUGGGACUUUAUUCAUAUGAUUCAAGUAAAUGAAAAUCUUCUGAUUUCUAAUUUUACAAGUGACCAUGAUCUGCUCAAAUAAAAGAUAAAGAUGUUUAUUAUACUAAGAUUCUCUU
rnacentral:sRNA from 1 species